rnacentral:rRNA from 1 species
AGUAACGCGUGAGGAACCUGCCUUCCAGAGGGGGACAACAGUUGGAAACGACUGCUAAUACCGCAUGACACAUUUGAAUCGCAUGGUUUGAAUGUCAAAGAUUUAUCGCUGGAAGAUGGCCUCGCGUCUGAUUAGCUAGUAGGCGGGGUAACGGCCCACCUAGGCGACGAUCAGUAGCCGGACUGAGAGGUUGACCGGCCACAUUGGGACUGAGAUACGGCCCAGACUCCUACGGAAGGCAGCAG